CGCGGCCUCGUCAAAUUCGGUGCCUGCCUCUGCCGUGGUGGGGACCGGCCCAAGGGCUGCCACAGCGAUGUCUGCGCUCCACGGGCCCCGCGUCCCUGCCGUGGGACGUCGGGGAUCAAAAUAGGUUACGGACGCUC
rfam:Aptenodytes forsteri contig6023, whole genome shotgun sequence.